rnacentral:rRNA from 1 species
GCGAAGAACCUUACCUGGGCUUGACAUACACCGGAUCGGGCUAGAGAUAGUCUUUCCCUUUGUGGCUGGUGUACAGGUGGUGCAUGGUUGUCGUCAGCUCGUGUCGUGAGAUGUUGGGUUAAGUCCCGCAACGAGCGCAACCCUUGUCUUAUGUUGCCAGCAUUUGGUUGGGGACUCAUGAGAGACUGCCGGGGUCAACUCGGAGGAA